GAAACAGUGCCAAUCGCACAGCUGUGCUGAGAGCAGCUUCCAGUGUUUUAGGAGUGGACAGCCUGAAAAUAACUGAGGUGAAGGACACAAGAUGGCAGUCCCAAGACACAGCCAUUUCAACUCUUCAGAGGAAUCUGGCAGCUGUGCUGGCACCUCUUGCUGAGGAAGCAGAGAAGAAGGACCCUGUAGCAAGGGGCCUUUAUACAUACUGUGCAACAUACAGGUUUGUGGCUGCUGUCCACCUCCAGGCAGAUGUCCUUCCCCACCUGACACGGCUUUCAAAGCUUUUCCAAAAGGAAGAAGUCAAUUUUUUGGCUAUCAAGAAACACGUGCCUGUUACAAUUGAGGCCAUUCGACAAAUCAAGGAGGCAGGAGACAAGCAGCCUCCAGGGUCAUAUCUCAGUGGGUUGGAAGAUAGAGUGAAAAGCCUCAACAUGCAGGCAGAGGAGAGGAG